rnacentral:tRNA from 1 species
UGGCGGAGUAGUUUAACUGGCGAAAAUGUCGGUCUCAUAAACCGAAGACUACAGGUUCAAAUCCUGUCUCCGCAACCA